AUUGAACGCUGGCGGCAGGCCUAACACAUGCAAGUCGAGCGGAUGAAGGGAGCUUGCUCCUGGAUUCAGCGGCGGACGGGUGAGUAAUGCCUAGGAAUCUGCCUGGUAGUGGGGGAUAACGUCCGGAAACGGGCGCUAAUACCGCAUACGUCCUGAGGGAGAAAGUGGGGGAUCUUCGGACCUCACGCUAUCGGAUGAGCCUAGGCCGGAUUAGCUAGUUGGUGGGAUAAAGGCCUACCAAGGCGACGAUCCGUAACUGGUCUGAGAGGAUGAUCAGUCACACUGGAACUGAGACACGGUCCAGACUCCUACGGGAGGCAGCAGUGGGGAAUAUUGGACGAUGGGCGAAAGCCUGAUCCAGCCAUGCCGCGUGUGUGAAGAAGGUCUUCGGAUUGUAAAGCACUUUAAGUUGGGAGGAAGGGCAGUAAGUUAAUACCUUGCUGUUUUGACGUUACCAACAGAAUAAGCACCGGCUAACUUCGUG
rnacentral:rRNA from 1 species